rnacentral:rRNA from 1 species
AUACGGAGGGUGCAAGCGUUAUCCGGAAGCAUUGGGCUUAAAGGGUCCGUAGGCGGGCUAAUAAGUCAGGGGUGAAAUCCCACAGCUUAACUGUGGAACUGCCCUUGAUACUGUUGGUCUUGAGUUACAGUGAAGUGGUUAGAAUGUGUAGUGUAGCGGUGAAAUGCAUAGAGAUUACACAGAAUACCGAUUGCGAAGGCAGAUCACUAACUGUAUACUGACGCUAAUGGACGAAAGCGUGGGGAGCGAACAGGAUUAGAAACCCGAGUAGUCC